GGAAGUAAAAGUCGUAACAAGGUUUCCGUAGGUGAACCUGCGGAAGGAUCAUUACCUAGUAGUACGGGGUUAUAGCAAUAUAGCCCCCGUCUGCACCCAUGUUUAUGCGUACUACAUGUUUCCUCGGCUGGUUCUCCAGCCGAUAGGAUCUCUUAAACUCAUUGUAAUUGCAAUCAGCGUCUGAAAAAAUCAAUAUUUACAACUUUCAACAACGGAUCUCUUGGUUCUGGCAUCGAUGAAGAACGCAGCGAAAUGCGAUAAGUAGUGUGAAUUGCAGAAUUCAGUGAAUCAUCGAAUCUUUGAACGCACAUUGCGCCCCUUGGUAUUCCAUGGGGCAUGCCUGUUCGAGCGUCAUUUGUACCCUCAAGCUAUGCUUGGUGUUGGGUGUUUGUCCUAUCCAUUGCGACUGGACUCGCCUUAAAGAUAUUGGCAGCCGGCAUUUUGGCCUUGGAGCGCAGCACAAUUUGCGAGUCCAAGCCGGAAUACUGACGUCCAGAUAAGCUUUUUACCACGUUUGACCUCGGAUCAGGUAGGGAUACCCGCUGAACUUAAGCAUAUCAAUAAGCGGAGGA
rnacentral:rRNA from 1 species